GGUUUGGUCUGAAAGAGGGGAAUGAAGAUCACACUUUCACCUGUACUCUUUGUGUCUGUGCUGUGUAUAGAAUUGAUGUAUAUCCAACACUUUGUUUACUCAGACCCUAGCACUGUAGAACCUGCUGUUUUCUCACUGGGUAACCCCAGUGGAGAUCAUUAUGACAGCAGGGUUCCAAGACACAUGCACCCAGGUACUUGACUUCUGAAUAUCAAUUCACUGCAUUUUGUUCGUUUGACAAGUGCAAUGUACUUGUCUGUUUUUAACGUGAAGCUCUUUUAUAGCCAACUGACAAAUUGCAUAAUUAAGAUUUGUUUUUGUAAAGCUGUAAGGAAUAAUUAAAGGAUACAGUUACUAUGUUUUAAUUGGUGAACUUGCUAUAUGGCUGAUGUGGUUCAUGAUUUGGGCGUGUUACAUACAGGGUUGGGUAGGUUACUUUCUAAAUGUAAUCCAUUACCUGUCCAAAAUUGUAAUCAGUAACAUAACUUUUGGUUGACCCAAACUCAGUAACGUAAUCUGAUUACAUUUAGUUACUUUUAGAUUGCUUUACCCUUUUAAGAGGCAUUAGAAAAAUGAAAAAGGCAUGUUACCAAUUGAACAACAUCUAUUGCAGGAUAAAUCAAUGUAAAAGUUUACAUAGCUGGUCAUAUAUGGAUGUUAAAUAUUACUUUAUGGGUUGGUUAUGUAAGCUUAUUCUAACAUAUAAUAGCACGAUUAAAUUAUAUCUUUAUAUUAAAAAACUCCAGAAAAAAUUCCAGUCAUUCCAAUAAAUGUUAUACCCCUUGAUCUUCAAGAAUAGGACCUGGAAAUAUGGAAGUAUAGAUUAGCCAAAUUAUUUUACCUGAGCAUGUCAUCUUCCCUCGAGCGCCAGGCUGCCCUGCAGUACGCAUUCCUGCCACCAUCAUUUACGCACACCUGCCUUCCCUCGUCACACUCUUCAGCGAUAUUGGACUCACUCAAUCACCUGUUUAUUACCUCUCCUAUAUUUGUCAGUUCCCUGCUCUGUUCCCGCUGCUGCAUUGUUGUCAUAUGUCCGUGUUUCCUGUGUGCUGACGCUGUUCCUGUCUUGUUCUAUGUCUGUUCCCGAAUAAAUGUCCGACUCCCCGUACCUGCUUCUCCUGUCCGGCGUCGGUCCUUACAGAGCAUAACCCAAAAACUAAGGACUAAUUAGCAUAACCCAAAAACUAAUUAGCCAGGUCUACUCUGUUGUUUAUGAUUUUGUCGUCAUGGAGGAGUGAUUUGGCUCAUUGAUUCGAGUUGAAAAAUAAAUGCUGCACUCAUGUGCUGCACUCAUGGAAUGGUAUGCUUUGAGCACUACUGAAAAGUGCUAUUUACAUGUGAAAAAUGAAUGCCAUAUGUGCAUUUGCUAAUGCCACAUUUUGCCUUGGUGACAGCUUUGCACACUCUUGGCAUUCUCUCAACCAGCUUCACCUGGAAUGAUUUUCCAACAGUCUUGAAGGAGACCGUCUAAAAGGGGACCGUCUUAAAACAGUUAAACCAAAGGGAAAGUUUUGGGAUUUACAAACUACAGGCCACUAAAUACCCUGGUUUAAAUGAAGAUAUGGAUUUCUCACCCUUACUGUAGGGUCGUGAUGGGUCCAUUUGCUGUCAUCUAGUGGACAUUUUGCUCAAUUGCCCUCAGCUAUGUUUAGACUGUUGUUGUUCAUGUUUUGCUGUGUUCUAGUGUACUAUGGAAUAUAUUGCUUUCUUAUUCUUGACACCUCUCCCAGUCAUAAAGGUUGGAACUACCUUUUAGUAUCCUGAUACUUCUAGCUUGGGGUUCUAUAUUUAUGAUAACAUAGCUACAGUAUUUCACCUUUUAUUGUGUAUAAGAUUGCUUACUAGGUGUGUCCAAUCAAUUUAGUAACCACUCCCUCUUCCAAUUAGGGCUAAUUGGAAAAGCUGUUCAAAAGAGGACAUUGUAUUCCUUUUUUUUGUGUUUUUUUUUGUACCUGCUGACGAAGGC
ensembl:lncRNA